CCUACGGGUGGCAGCAGUGAGGAAUAUUGGUCAAUGGGCGCGAGCCUGAACCAGCCAAGUAGCGUGAAGGAUGACUGCCCUAUGGGUUGUAAACUUCUUUUAUAAAGGAAUAAAACGAGGCACGUGUGCCUUUUUGCAUGUACUUUAUGAAUAAGGAUCGGCUAACUCCGUGCCAGCAGCCGCGGUAAUACGGAGGAUCCGAGCGUUAUCCGGAUUUAUUUGGUUUAAAGGGAGCGUAGAUGGGUUGUUAAGUCAGUUGUGAAAGUUUGCGGCUCAACCGUAAAAUUGCAUUUGAUACUGGCAGUCUUGAGUACAUUUGCGGUAGGCGGCAUUCGUGGUGUAGCGGU
rnacentral:rRNA from 1 species